ACUGUGAUUUGUCAGCUUAUACUAAAAUUAGAAAGAUGAAGACGAUUAUCAUGGUCUCUGGGCAAGGAUGACAAGCAAAUUCAUACAGCAUCCCGUAUUUUU